GCGGGGGCCUGCGGGGGACUUGCAAGGGGCGGGGGGCUGCGGGGGCGGGGCAGACCUCCAGCCGGCUCUCCGCAAACCUCGCUUCUAGCCUUGUCUUCCUGCGCCCAUUCUGGACACCCGGGCCCAGCUCUGAGUUCUUGUUUUAACACCUACUAUGCGCCAGGCCCCCCGUCGGAGGAGUCCUAGUUAGCCUUAUUAAUAAGGGUUAGAUAAUGUCCAGGCGCUCGAUAUGCAUCAGCUCGUUAAAGUUUCACAGCCUCUCCAUCAUCAUCUCCAUUUUACAUGUGAGGAAACUGAGGCGAGGAGAUGUGAAGAAAUAGGAGGGAGGGUUUCCAGGGAUGAGUAAGAGAAGAUGUCAGCCUUGAGGAGCUGUCAGUUCUAUUAUGGGCGAUUAGUGAAGGCCGACUCUCUGCCAGGUGCUGAGCACGGCAUCUUUCACCCAUUACGUGCUUGAGGAAAUUAAGGCUCGGACGCCUGCAGUAAUUUAUGCAGGGGCACUCUGCUAGGAGGGGCUGAGCUGACGCUCCAAACCUCCACUGUCCAGUCUGGUGGCCAAACAACCACCUGGAGAAAACUGUAAAGGAGGCACAGGCAGAAGGUUCGAGAACUCAGAGAUGGGGAAAUGUGGUCUUCGGGAAAAUCAGGGGCGGCAUCAAGGAGGAAGGGAAAGGUAAGCAGCCACUGAGAGGCUGAGAAUGGCUAGAGGUGGAGGUAGAGGAGGAGGGAGAGGGACGGAUGAAGCUAAAGGGAUGCCUGAGGGCUGGAACACCCAGGGCCUUGGAUUCUGAGCUCGGGCUCGUGAAUGUCAGCCUGCUGGCAGCCAGAGUCCAUGAGGGGAGUUUCUAAACAGGGGGUGAGCUAAGUCAGCCCUCACGGAGGAGGUGACGCUGAAGCAUGUGUUAGCAGCCGUGACAGCAGCUGUUGCUUAGGGAGUGGGAAGGUUUUAAGAGAAGUAGCAAAUGCUCCCAGAGAUGUGUACUUUUCCACUGAUCAUCUGGUGAGUAUCUCAGAGAGGUGGAUUUCAACUGAGUGUAGGAAAAUGCUUUUCUCCAAAGGGAGCUUUGAAGGCAGGUGGGUCAAAGUUCUGGGCAGCCUAAGCGGGAGGCCCAGCUCCACCCCUCGCUGCCUCUGCAGCCCUGGGCAGGUCCCUCCACCUGCUGGCUGCCUCAGUUACCUCAUCUACAAAAUUGGCAUGAUGGUAUGGUGGCUGUGAGCAUUAUAUGAUAUAGUGCUUCUAAAAUAUUUAGCGCAAUGUGGCAAAAUGUUAAUUAGUGAAUCUAGGCAAAGGGUGUUUGUUGUACGAUUCUUGCAACUUUUCUGUUGGUUUAAAUUUUUGCAAAAUAAAAAAGGUUGUGUGGGGUGGGGGGGAGACAGACAAUUCUCGCCUGCAUAGAACACUCAGAAACUGAUCCUAAUGGCGCCUCUGGGGAGGGGAGCUGAGUGGUUGAGAGGCGGCCUACUUUUAGUUUUCACUGUAAGCCCUUUUGUUCUUUUUAGAUUGGUAUUGUGUGUAUAUACAACUUGUAAAAUAAUUUUUUAAAGUCCUACCCAUGCCUCAAGGUCAAUGCAAAGGCCACUUCCCUUAAGAAAAAGCUUGGGAUGUUCUGCUCAGGUCGGUGGACACAUCCAGCAGCUGCCUUGAAUGGGAGGGCCCCACAACUGGGGGAUAAAGACGCGUUUGAUUCAGCCCUGCCUAGAAGGAGCUCAUACUCCAGCAAGUGGAGACAAAAAGAAACAGGAGGCGGACAAACAAAUCCAAUCCGGGGCGUGGUGAGGGUCCAGACAAGGGCAGCCGGCUCCUUAUGCAGCUUCAGGGACGGCUCCUUGGAGGAGGCAGUGGCUGAGCCGAGUUCUGAGCUGAACUCCCAGCCAGGAGAAGGUAGAGGGAAGGCAUUCCAGAUGGAAGGAGCAUGUGAGCAGAAGCUUGGGGCCUUGAAAGCAAAGGGUGCAUGAAUGCAAGCACCUCAGCAUGACUGGGUGGUACAGAGAGGGGGAGAGUAACGAGCAGUGAGAGUGACUGGGAGCCGCAAAUAGAUGGGGCGCCCGAGGGCACACGCUGUGGGAAUCCCAUCAUGACAGACUAAGGCUCAGCCUCUUCAGGGAGAUAGGUCAUGUUGUUUAUCAAUAUUAUUGUUAUUUUAUUUCCAUUUUACAGAAAACACACAUGAGCCUCAGGGCAUUUAAAGAACUUGCCUGUGGUCACAGUAUAGACCCUCUAUGUGAGGAUUCAAGCCCACACAGGCAAUACCAGAGCUGCCUGGUCAAUGGGGAACCAGUAAAUGGAUCUUUCAGAUUGAGCGCUUAAAUGAGGGCUAUUGGCCUGGAGAAUGACUCAGAGGUGGAGGACCGGAAACAUGAUCAACCGGGAAGCUACUGCAAUAGCCCAGAGCGUAGAGAAGAUUAGCCCUGAGCUAACAUCUGCCACCAAUCUUCCUCUUUUUGCUGAGGAAGACUGGCCCUGAGCUCACAUCCGUGCCCAUCUUCCUCUACUUUAUGUGUGAGACACCUACCACAGUAUGGCUUGCCAAGCGGUGCCAUGUCCGCACCCGGGAUCAGAACCGGCGAACCCCAGGCCACUCAAGCGGAAGCAGAAAGUUGGAGAUGUGCCAGCUAUCUACCAUUAGAGGAUCAGAUAAAUAAAUUAUGGUUCUUUGAUACUGGAGAGUGCCACCAAGCUGUUAAAGAAUGACAGUGUUGAAGUGGCCAGCUAUCUGCAAAGUAUGGUGAAGUUUAACACCCAGCAAUCCUAACACCCAUGAAUUUAUUCCAAGACAGCAAAAUGAAAGAGGUCCACGGACACUGUUCACCGAAUGUGCAGCGCCUGUUACAGAGGAGCGGCUUCAAAAAUAUUUGUUGGAUCUGAGAUUGAGCUACAGCAUCGUUCUUUGCAGCUUUGUUUGUAAAAGGAAAGACCAAAAGCAACAGACAUGGACGACCUUACGGUGCCAGCUAAAUAAACGACAGCAGAUCCAUAAAACAGAAUGAUGUCCUGUCGUUAAAAUCAGGUUGUAAUAACACUCGUAGAUGCCCCGCCCACCAAGAGGUGGGGCUUAAUCCUCCUCCCCUUGAGUGCGGCAUGGACUUUAUGGCUGGUAUCUAAAGGAUGGAGUGGAAGGGGGAAAAUAGUACUUUUACAGAGGAGAGACCCAGCAGACACUCCCUUCCCUUAACGUCAGCAGAGAUAAAUCGUGGAGAUGUCAGGUACUCCGCAGGAUGCAAUGAGAAGGGCACCUCACCUCUGUGGUCUUCUCCCUCAAAAACCGUACCCCAGUCUCAUCGUGAGAAAGACAUCACACAUACCUGAACUGAGGGGCAUUCUACAAAAUGCCUGAGAAGUCUUCUUCAAAACCGUCAAGGUCACGAAAAACAAGGGAAGACUCAGAAACUGUCGGGGACCAGAGGAGCCAAAGGAAGGGACUUAGACCGAAUGCCACGUGGCAUCCAAAAUGGAGUCCUGGAAUAUGAAAAAGACUUUUGUGGAAGAACUGGCAAAAUCCUAAUGAAGUGCAUAGUUUAGUUAAUAAUAUUUUACUGACGUUAAGUUUUCAGUUUUGGCAGAUAUAGCAUGGUUAUGCAAGACGUUAGCAUCCGGGGAAGCUGGGUGAAGAGUACACAGGAACUCCUGUGCUCUCUUGGCUAUAAACCUAGAAUCAGUCAAAAAUUUAAUAUUAUUUAAAAAAAAACAGAAUGUAGAUAUUUAUUAGCAUAGAAAUGUAUUCAUGAUAUGUUAAGGGGAAGUCUGUGUAUGGUGUCAUACAGUUUUUGCUGAAUGAGCCCAUUUUUGUAAAAAAAAAAUACUGAUAAGGUGUGUAUAUAUACAUGAAUGGAUAUACAUGCACAUAUACACACACACGCAGGAAAACAAAAGUCUAGGAAGACAUCCUUCCAGGAUUUCGGCCUCCAGGGCCCGGCAGGAGAGGACCGUAGUGGCCGUGGUGAGCCGGAGUGUUUACGGUCCUUCUAAAACAGGCAGCAGCUUCAUGGCCCCAGCCAGUUGCUGUCCUGCAGGACUUGGAACCAGUUCUGAUAGAUCAUCUCAUUUUCCAAAAGAAAUUGAAACCGAG
rnacentral:lncRNA from 1 species